rnacentral:rRNA from 1 species
CCUACGGGAGGCAGCAGUGAGGAAUAUUGGUCAAUGGACGAGAGUCUGAACCAGCCAAGUAGCGUGAAGGAUGACUGCCCUAUGGGUUGUAAACUUCUUUUAUAUGGGAAUAAAACGUUCCACGUGUGGGAUUUUGUAUAUACCAUAUGAAUAAGGAUCGGCUAACUCCGUGCCAGCAGCCGCGGUAAUACGGAGGAUCCGAGCGUUAUCCGGAUUUAUUGGGUUUAAAGGGAGCGUAGGUGGAUUGUUAAGUCAGUUGUGAAAGUUUGCGGUUCAACCGUAAAAUUGCAGUUGAAACUGGCAGUCUUGAGUACAGUAGAGGUGGGCGGAAUUCGUGGUGUAGCGGUGAAAUGCUUAGAUAUCACGAAGAACUCCGAUUGCGAAGGCAGUUCACUGGACUGCAACUGACACUGAGGCUCGAAAGUGUGGGUAUCAAACAGGAUUAGAUACCCUUGUAGUC